UAGACUAAUUAUAGAUUACCUGAGUAGAUUAUGUCCCAUUAACAUCAUACCUAAUUGGUACAAAGGAGUUUCGGUGAACUUCAGAUCAUCAAGGCAUAAUCUGAAAAAAGAACAAAUGGAAUUAGAGAUAAUUCCAGGGCUCAGACCCUAAGCUUGAAAAUUGAACGCAAAGAAGAGAAAUAUUUCCUAAUUGUCUCGUAGCCUCUCCUGAAUGAGUGU
rnacentral:lncRNA from 1 species